rnacentral:rRNA from 1 species
AGUAAUGUCUGGGAAACUGCCUGAUGGAGGGGGAGUAACUACUGGAAACGGUAGCUAAUACCGCAUAACGUCGCAAGACCAAAGAGGGGGACCUUCGGGCCUCUUGCCAUCAGAUGUGCCCAGAUGGGAUUAGCUAGUAGGUGGGGUAACGGCUCACCUAGGCGACGAUCCCUAGCUGGUCUGAGAGGAUGACCAGCCACACUGGAACUGAGACACGGCCCAGACUCCUACGGAGGCAGCAUG